AAGGCGGCUUUCUGGGCUGCACCUGACGCUGAGGCGCGAAAGCGUGGGGAGCGAACCGGAUUAGAUACCCGGGUAGUCCACGCCCUAAAUGGUGGAUACUAGACAUGGGGGGUAUCGACCCCCUCCGUGUCGUAGCUAACGCGUUAAGUAUCCCGCCUGGGGAGUACGGCCGCAAGGCUAAAACUCAAAGGAAUUGACGGGGGCCCGCACAAGCAGCGGAGCGUGUUGUUCAAUUCGAUGCCAAGCGAAAAACCUUACCAGGGCUUGACAUGUUUCCGACAGUCCCCGAAAGGGGGCCUUCCUUCGGGACGGAUUCACAGAUGUUGCAUGGUCGUCGUCAGCUCGUGUCGUGAGAUGUUGGGUUAAGUCCCGCAACGAGCGCAACCCUUGUCGUUAGUUACCUUGUCUAGCGAGACUGCAUGUAAAAAACAUGAGGAAGGUGGGGAUGACGUCAGAUCAGCACGGCUCUUACGUCCUGGGCUACAAACACGCUACAAUGGCCUGAACAAAGGGUUGCCAAGGCGCAAGCCGGAGCCAAUCCCACAAAUCAGGCCUCAGUUGGAAUUGCAGGCUGAAACUCGCCUGCAUGAACGUGGAGCUGCUAGUAACCGCAGGUCAGCACACUGCGGUGAAUACGUUCCCGGGCCUUGUACACACCGCCCGUCACGUCAUGGAAGUCGGUAACACUUGAAGUCGCCCGUCUAACCUUUAUGGGAAGUAGGCGCCGAGGGUGGGAUCGGUGACUGGGACGAAGUCGUAACAAGGUAGCUGUACCGGAAGGUGCGGCUGGAUCACCUCCUUU
rnacentral:rRNA from 1 species